rnacentral:rRNA from 1 species
AGGGUUCGAUUCUGGCUCAGGAUGAACGCUGGCGGCAUGCCUAAGACAUGCAAGUCGAACGAGAUGGUCCAUUGAAGAAUGAGUGCUUGCACGAUUUUGGAUUUGGAUCACCAUCUAGUGGCAGACGGGUGAGUAACACGUGGGUGACCUACCUUCAAGUUGGGGAUAACAGUUGGAAACGAUUGCUAAUACCGAAUAAGACAUAUUUGUCAUGGAUAUGUUGAAAGGAGCCUUUAAAGCUUCACUUAAAGAUGGGCCUGCGGCGUAUUAAUUAGUUGGUGGGGUAACGGCCUACCAAGAUAGCGAUGCGUAGCCGAACUGAGAGGUUGAGCGGCCACACUGGAACUGAGAUACGGUCCAG